CCCCUCCUUAAAAGUCUCUAGGCGGACUUUACCCAGGUAUGGGCUGAGACCAAUCCACCUGGACUGGCGAUUCAUCAAGCCCCAAUAAUUGUGGAACUUAAGGCGUCCGUGUUUCCAGUAAGACUGAAACAAUAUCCUAUGUCCUGGGAGGCUAGGCGGGGAAUCACUGUUUACAUCAAGCAUUUGCACAACUCGGGCAUUCUGACCCCAUGCAAGUCGCCAUGGAAUACUCCACUUCUCCCUGUCCGAAAGUCUAACUCAUCCGACUUUCGGCCAGUUCAAGAUCUGAGAGCAGUAAACGCCAGAGUAAUGGAUAUUCAUCCCACUGUACCCAACCCGUAUACUCUCCUUAGUCUGCUUCCCCCUUCUGAGGUGUAUUAUACAGUUCUGGACUUAAAAGACGCCUUCUUUGCCAUCCCACUGGCCCCACAGAGCCAGCCACUGUUCGCAUUUGAAUGGACCAAUCCAGAAGAGGGAACAGCUGGACAGCUCACCUGGACGCAACUCCCCCAGGGAUUCAAAAACUCCCCUACUCUUUUCAAUGAAGCCCUGAACCAGGAUUUAGAACCAUUUUGAAUCUCCAAACCGCAGGUAACUCUGUUGCAGUAUGUUGAUGAUAUCUUGCUGGCAGCCCCCUCUCAUUCAGAAUGCCUGAGUGCCACCAAGGAACUCUUGAGUCUUCUGCAAAAACUAGGAUACCGAGUGUCAGCCAAAAAAGCGCAGAUCUGUCACACUGUGGUCACUUAUUUAGGUUACAACAUUAAAAAAGGUAAGCGCUAUCUCGGUGAACAAAGAAUUCAUGCUAUACUCGAUAUUCCUCAGCCUAAAACUCGCAAACAAGCUCGCAAGUUCCUGGGGGCAGCAGGCUAUUGCAGACUAUGGAUACCUGGCUUUGCUGAACUGGCAGUCCCUUUGUAUGCCACUCUCAAGGGGUCUCCGGAGUCCUUCACAUGGGGGGAGACUCAAACUAAAGCCUUCCAAGCUUUACGAGAGGCUCUCAUGACCCCAUUAGCCUUGGCCCUGCCAGAUCCCACUAAGCCAUUCCAUUUGUUUGUAGCUGAGAAAGGGGGAGUAGCUAAGGGAGUUCUGACUCAGCUCCUGGGAACUUGAGGCUGACCAGUGGCCUGUUUAUCCAAAAGGCUAGACCCAGUUGCUUCCAGAUGGCCCACAUGCGUUCGACAGAUAGCUGCCACCGCGCUACUAGUCAAAGAUGCAGAUAAACUAACCCUGGGACAGACAUUGUCUGUUACAGGGCCGCAUGAAGUGGAGGCCUUACUGCGGGCUACCCCAGAACGGUGGCUGUCAAAUGCUUGGAUUACCCAGUAUCGAGCAUUGCUGCUCGACCAGCCCCGGAUACGUUUUUGUGCCCCCGCAGCCUUAAACCCAGCUACUUUGCUGCCCGAAGGACUAGGUCCCCCUCUACAUUCUUGCCCAGAGACCUUAGCUACAGUUUCGUUCCUCUGCUCCGAUCUCACGGACAUUCCCCUACAGGAUCCUGAUAUCAACAUGUUUUCAGAUGGCAGUAGUUUUGUGUUUCAAGGGCAAAGGUAUGAUGUUGCUGCGGUUAGGACAGAGGGCGAGGUUCUAUGGCAAUAGACGCUUCCCCCGGGAACCUCAGCCCAGUGCGCAGAGCUCAUCGCGCUAACUAAAGCUCUGAAAUUCUGUAAAAACAAGUCAGUUAAUGUUUAUACGGACAGCCGCUAUGCCUUUGCAACUGUGCAUGUUCACGGGUCCAUCUAUUAAGUGCGGCCUCCUCAUGGCGAGGGCAAGGACAUCAAAAAGCGGAAAUUCUAGACCUUGUAACAGCCAUCUGGGAACCUGUGAGACUCACGAUCAUUCACAGUCCAGGACCUCAAAAAGGCAACACCCUAGAGGCAGUCGGAAACUGCCUGGCUGAAGCGGCAGCCUGGGAAGCUGCCCUAACUGAAAGUAAAAGUGCUUUGGCGCUACGGAUCUUGAUAGACCCCCUGCUUCCGCAGGAGCCCAAUUAUACUCCUAAAGAUUUGGAGUGGAUUUCAAGAAAAGGAAGAAGUAUGAUACCGGGACAAAAGUGGUUUCAGGAUCCUGAAGGAGACUUAGUUUGGUUCAAGAGGCACAAGCCUGAAACCCUGGAGCCGCUCUGGAAAGGACCACGUACCGUGAUCCUGACUACACCAACGGCUGUGAAGACAGACGGUGUCCGAACCUGGAUUCAUCACUCUCAGGUUAAGAAAAACUGUGUGGAGGCAGAAACACCCAGGACUGAUACGGGACCAGAGAACAAACAGCGAUGGAAGGUCAAAAGGCACCCAGAGGAUCCUUUAAAGAUAAGACUGAUGCGGGAAUAAUAAUUGUCUGGGUUUAUAUAAGCUUGGGAGACUGUGUGGAACUGCACCCCUUGUCUUUUUGGCCAUACUAAUGGGAACUCAGACACUGUCACACGGAAGGUGACUUUCUUACUUCUGCUUUGGACUUACUGUGUGUCAAGUACAGUUACCAUCACUUAAGAUACGGAGGUGAAGGUAACAUGGAAGAAAGACGAACAAGGAAUGACAAAACCCCAAGGCUGUCAUAUGUCAUGGAAACAAGAAGUGGGGACAUCAAAAAUACAUGAAAUAUUCAACACCCUAUUCGGUCCCUAUUAACAAGCUGCUGGAACCAUGACCCUGGAGUGCAGAAAUAUCUGUGCAACUUUAAAUGAAUUAUCAACAAUCAACAUUUUGCCAAGGAAAACCAAUAGUUUAUAGAUCAAAUGAGGAAGCAAAGACACAUGAUGGAGGAACAUGGCAAAACAUUUAGCUAUGACUUUGGCUGAAAGCAGAGUGACCUGGAGACAGAUUCCUUUCUUUUUCUUCACCCCUAGCUCCAAGCUCCAAAAGAUUUAAGUAGGCCAAAAUCAUCAUUACUGAUAAUGUUCCAAGGCAGGGGUCAUUCAUUAUAAACAAAUAAGCACAUGAUCCAGUCUGCCUCAUGCCCAGGAACUACACCUAGGAGUCGUUUCUGGCAGGAGCCCAUCCCUUCUUGAACUUUCUGGGUAUGUCUCCAAUCCACCUUUGCUGCAUUAUAACAAGAAUGCCUGUGACCAUUUUUAGGGUAUGGGGCAUAGGCUUUCAGGAGGUUGCUUUGCAGUAAAUAAUUAUUGAUCCACUGCUUAA